rnacentral:rRNA from 1 species
AGUUUGAUCCUGGCUCAGAACGAACGCUGGCGGCGUGCCUAACACAUGCAAGUCGAACGGAAUUGAGGUGCUUGCACUUCAAUUUAGUGGCGCACGGGUGAGUAACGCGUAGAUAAUCUGCCUGAUGAUCUGGGAUAACACUUCGAAAGAGGUGCUAAUACCGGAUAAGCCCACGGAGUCUUCGGAUUCUGCGGGAAAAGGGGGGGACCUUCGGGCCUUCUGUCAUCAGAUGAGUCUGCGUACCAUUAGCUAGUUGGUAGGGUAAUGGCCUACCAAGGCUACGAUGGUUAGCUGGUCUGAGAGGAUGAUCAGCCACACUGGAACUGAGACACGGUCCAGACUCCUACGGGAGGCAGCAGUGGGGAAUUUUGCGCAAUGGGGGAAACCCUGACGCAGCAACGCCGCGUGAGUGAAGAAGGCUUUCGGGUCGUAAAGCUCUGUCAGUGGGAAAGAAGUGUGUUUUGGCUAAUAUCCAGAACACUUGACGGUACCCACAAAGGAAGCACCGGCUAACUCCGUGCCAGCAGCCGCGGUAAUACA